UUAAUGGCCCAUAUCUGGCAAACUGUCAUUAGCCAUUCAAUCGUAAAUAAAAAUAGCAUGCGAUCAACAGCCGUUCAUCGGCCGAUAAUCAAAUCCAUACGUCCUUGCGCAUGCGCCAAAAAUCUGUUUCUCAGUUCUCAGAGCACAUUUAUUUCAUUUACAUGUCUUAUGUUGUAGGUUAUAUUGACCAAUUAAUUUUGUUUUCACAAUCUCACAAGCAUAUCAGCGAUUAAAAAAAUUUAGAGAAUUAAAAAAAAAUGUAAAUAACGAUGAACAAUGCGAUGCAAAUAUUUCUGUACAUAACUCAAGUAACCUAAGUGUCAAUAAUAGUGUAAAUGAUAACAGUGUAAAUAGUGAUGACAUUUGCAUUCAUUCUGAUAUUAGUUGUGACAAUGAUAUUGAUAAUGAUGAGAAUGAUACAAGUAAUAAAUUAAGCGACAAAAAUAAUGAAAGUGAUGACAUUGAAGAUAAAACUAUGGUUCAAAUAAAAGUUUUCAAGAAAAACUUCGACAGUGGGCCUUAAAAAAUUUAAACAGUCUUCAAUUAAAUGUAAUUGCUGAACUUUUAUUACUACUAAGAGAAGAAGGACAUCCUGAGUUACCAAAAACGACACAAGCUUUGUUAAAGACCAAAUCCGCGUGCACCAAGUUUUUCUUAGUCAACGUAUGUGUGUGAGUUGCUGUAUUAGACCGAUAGUCGGGUACUAUGCCUAGCUACAGAAAACAAUAAAGCAGCGCCAUGCGUAUCAUGUGUGUGUGUGUGUGUGUGUGUGUGUGUGUGUGUGUGUGUGUGUGUGUGUGUGUGUAUUUCUUAUUUCAGUUUAUUUGUGACAUCGUGAUUGACCGGUUCGUACGUAUUUAAAUUCGUUUGUUUAAAUAUUGACUAUUAUAAUAAAUGUAAUAAAUAAUUUUUAUUAUAAUAAUUAUUAUCUUUAUUAUAUCCAUUAUUAUUAAGUGUGAAAGUAAAACUUGGUUUAUUGAAUGAACUAAUAAAGUAAAAAAACUUGCAUUUUUCCGGAUCAAAAUUUUUGGCGAAAAAACAGCGAAAGGAUGCAUUUGUAAAAGGGCAUCUGCACUGAUGACCAAAAAUGUUGAAAAAAAUUACUCUGGUACUAAGAAAAGAAUAAAAGGCGUGGGAAAACUUAAUUUUAGCGCAACAGAAACAUUUAAGUGUAUGGAAGAUGUAGUAAAAGAGAAACUUGGUGACUGUGAAGAUUGCAAAAAUUUUGCCGGAAAAGUUGGCCGGUGGUUGUCAGGGCAAGGAGAUCGAGAACAGGGUCGAAAACAAAGAUCCUUAUCUUUAUAAUCUAUUUAAU